rnacentral:rRNA from 1 species
AUGAGUCGACCUGAUGGGAUCAACAUCCCCGACGGUAGGUUCUACCUUGAAGAUGUUGGCUAUGCAUGUCCGGGUGUUGUUUCACCCUUCAGGAAAACCAAGUACCAUCUCAACGAGUUUUCUGGUAGGAACUAUCCUAGGACAACACAUGCGUUGUUUAAUCUCAGACACUCCAACCUUAGUGUAACUGUUGAGAGGGCAUUUGGAGCUCUGAAGAAUAGAUUUAAAAUCUUGGAUCAGAAGCCAUUCCACCCAUACUCCACUCAGGUUAAGCUUGUUCUUGCUUGUUGCAUUCUGCAUAACUGGAUCCUCCAGUGGGGCUUUGAUGAACACAUGCCAGAGGAGGAAGAGGUCAAGCCUGACGAUGUUGUUAGCUCCGGCCAUGGUGUGGAGGCAUUUGACAAUGACGCUUGGAAGAACAAAAGGUUGGAGUGGGCAGAUGCAAUGUGGCUUAACAGAGGUCAGUGCCAGAUUUGA